rnacentral:rRNA from 1 species
UACGUAGGAAGCAAGCGUUAUCCGGAUUUACUGGGCGUAAAGUGGACGUAGGCGGCCUUUCAAGUCGGAUGUGAAAUCUCCUGGCUUAACUGGGAGGGGUCAUCCGAUACUGUUGGGCUAGAGGACAGCAGGGGAAGGUGGAAUUCCCGGUGUAGUGGUGAAAUGCGUAGAUAUCGGGAGGAACACCAGUGGCGAAGGCGGCCUUCCAGGCUGUUUCUGACGCUGAGGUCCGAAAGUGUGGGGAGCGAACAGG